GACGAACGCUGGCGGCGUGCUUAACACAUGCAAGUCGAACGGUGACCCUCGGAGCCUGCUUCGGGGUGAACAGUGGCGAACGGGUGAGUAACGCGUGAGUAACCUGCCCCUGACUCUGGAAUAAGCGCUGGAAACGGCGUCUAAUACCGGAUACGACACGCCUCCGCAUGGGGAGCGUGUGGAAAGUUUUUCGGUCUGGGAUGGACUCGCGGCCUAUCAGCUUGUUGGUGAGGUAAUGGCUCACCAAGGCGAUGACGGGUAGCCGGCCUGAGAGGGCGACCGGCCACACUGGGACUGAGACACGGCCCAGACUCCUACGGGAGGCAGCAGUGGGGAAUAUUGCACAAUGGGCGAAAGCCUGAUGCAGCGACGCCGCGUGAGGGAUGACGGCCUUCGGGUUGUGAACCUCUUUCAGCACCGACGAAGCGAGAGUGACGGUAGGUGCAGAAGAAGGACCGGCCAACUACGUGCCAGCAGCCGCGGUAACAC
rnacentral:rRNA from 1 species